UGAACCUGCGGAAGGAUCAAUCUUA
rnacentral:rRNA from 3 species